rnacentral:rRNA from 1 species
CUUUUACAACGAAGAGUUUGAUCCUGGCUCAGGAUGAACGCUAGCGGGAGGCUUAACACAUGCAAGUCGAGGGGCAGCAUUUCUAGCUUGCUAGAAGAUGGCGACCGGCGGACGGGUGCGUAACGCGUAUGCAACUUGCCUAUAACUAAGGGAUAACUCAGAGAAAUUUGCGCUAAUACCUUAUGUGAUCAUAAUGACGCAUGUUAUAAUGAUUAAAGAAUUUCGGUUAUAGAUAGGCAUGCGUCCUAUUAGCUAGUUGGUAAGGUAACGGCUUACCAAGGCGACGAUAGGUAGGGGGCCUGAGAGGGUGAUCCCCCACACUGGUACUGAGACACGGACCAGACUCCUACGGGAGGCAGCAGUGAGGAAUAUUGGUUAUUGGAG